CAGAAUGUCUGUGACAUUCUCUCUCAUGAUAUAAGUCCUAUGCACGUCUGCAUUGAACACUUUGCUUUCAGAAUCAUAACCAGAGAAUUGUUUGGUACUAUGAGGAAUAGAAACCCUCCGUGCACAGCUCCCUACAGGGCACCCAAAACUUUAUUGCCAGUUGUAGUUCAAAUAAGACCUGCAUACUGAUAAUAAGUGAAGUCACCAGGCUGACCAUCAAUGCUCUCCGCAUUGUAUCCAUCUCCAGUCACCUCCAACUAGAUUUUUUUUCUUGGUAUGGGGAAAGAGAGAAGUAACUGUAGAUAAAUUGUACAAAUUAUCUUAAUGCUAUAGAGUAUAUAUUUUGCCCCUUGGCUUGUCUUCAUAGGAGAGUAGGUGGUUUCCUUCAAGAGGCAUAGACAUAGAGAGUGUGGUCAAGGAUAUCACUAAGAUGAGGUCACGUGGACAAUCACAUUGAUUAGAGAAAUCACAGGAUAACAGUCUUUUUCUUCUUGGUGGCAGAUAUGCUUGAUACCCGUAUGAAUGAUUUCUACCUGGGAAUGCCACAUCAGUGACAGAAUUAUCAGCAAUUAGGAACAGAAGAAUUCUGGCUCCUUCAGUGUUUACUGAGAAAUUACUCUCAGAUGAGAUUCAGCUCUGAGAGAAUCUUCUUGUAUGAGAUUUGCAUUGCCAGGCCUCUGAUGAUCCAGUAAGGGCUAAGAUUUAGGAAAUGAUGAUGCUUGAGGAAGGUUAGGAAAAUCAUGAACUUCACAUCACUUCUGCAGAAAUGUUACCCCAGUGGUCACCUCAAGAUUGCAUGGUGGUAAGGAGUAGCCCAAAGUUUAUAUUUCUGGAGACAGAAACACCUGCUGUUCAUUUUCUCUACUCACUUCCUUGAGCACAGUUUUCAGUAUUCUUACCUGUAUGACUGAUUUCUACCUGGGAAUGCCACAUCAGUGAGAGAAGCAUCAGCAAGCAUCUACAGAGGAAUCCUGGCUUCUUCAGUGUUUACAGAGAAAUGACUCUCAUGAUGAGAUUCAGCUCUGAGAGAUACACUGGAUAUAAGUGUCUCACAAGCCUGAUCAUGAUAAUCUCAGACUCAAUCACACAGGAACUUCUUCUCCCCAGCUUCUGAGGAGAUUUCCCUGAAGAUAGAGUCAACACAUCUUCCUGGUGUGCUCCUUAGUGAAGUUGCAUCCAAGCACUACAGCCAUGCUUUCUUUCUGCAUCAUGAAAAGCUGACAAUGGAGGAGACCACUUCCAUGAGCUUAUGAGCUUAUGGUAUUGUAAAGCCAACUGUUUACUCAUUUCAUUGUGAUUUGAUUACUCAUGUUUCCUCAUCUGGUAUCGGAUUUGGUGUGUGCUUACUUUGUCAGAUAAAACUUCAUGUUUCCUUAAGCAUUUUGGAUUCUGACAGGGCAGCUUAGUGAAGUUGCAUCCAAGCUCUACAGCCAUGAUUCCUCUCUGCAUUCUCAGAAGCUGACAUUGGAGGAGACCCCUUCUCUGAGCUUAUGGUAUUGUAAAGCCAACUGUUUACUCAGUUCAUUGUGAUUGUUGUUUACUCAUGUAAGUAAUUAGACUAAAAUUCAUAUUUAUUUAUAUUCUGGAUUUUCUGAAGUUAUUAGACAUAAGUACAUUACUAGAUUACUGACUGCUUCACUUUACAUCAGGUUAUAUCUUUUCACAAAAGUAAUGAAAAUGUUCUUUGUAUGAUCUGCACAUGACCUAUUUCCAUACAUAAUAAUGCCAUACUUAACUAUAUGUUGGAGAGUUUUAUGUUGAAUAUUAACUCAUAUAUCACAAAGAAUAUAGUGUGUUCUUUUAACCUCAGAAGAGACACACAUUUUUUUCAUUACAGAGGGAAAUGGCAUAGAAGGGACCGUAGUAAGUUUCAAGGGACACAUAUAAUACAAGAGCCUAAUUUACUGUAAUAUCCAAGGUAUGGAGGACAUAGUGAUAACCUCCCCAUUAGAUAUCAGGUAGAUCUCAUUGACAAGCAUGAAUUUAUGUACUUCUACCCACUCAGAUGGCCCAUUUACAAAGAGUUUUGAGAUACCAAAUUUUCAGGUAUGUGCCUUUACAGCCAUCCUGCUUGAGAAUCGGGUAUGAGCAGAAUCUCCAGUUUUAAUCAAUAUUGUAUAAGGUUAUGAUUUUCCCUAGUUGGGUUUAUCAGGAAACACUAAACAGCAUUCUUGUUUCCAAGCCUGUGAGUUGAGUUGAUAGGAGAUCUGGUCCAGACUGAAAAUAUUAUGCAUAUCAUGAUGACUCGUGUUAUGUUGUGAGAGCAUAUUAAGUAUAGAAACCAAUCCUGAGAUUAUACAAAAAGCUGGAAGAAGGCAGCAUUAGAUAUGAUCUUUAAGUUUUAUGAAAUAAACAAGUAUAACAUUGUAUGUUGGGAAACAACACAUGUAUGGGGUCAUUGCUGAAAUGGGCUGCAUAUUCUCAGCAACACUCUAUUUGAAAAUCUGAUUGUCCUUUCCCUCACAGAUAUAAACUAUAAAUAAAGUCCUGGUUAGAAGUUGAUUUUUUGUGUUCAUAGUUUUAAUAAUGUUGGCAUUCAUCUGGCUUGAACUAAUGUUAUUCUUUUUGUAACUCAUACUAUAAAAUCUUUCUAAACUAUUUACAUAUAUGAGAGUAAUUUUAAUGCAUUCCCUUAUAUAAAGGAGAUAAUUCCCUAGCUAGACAUCUUAUGUCACAAAGUAAUACCCCACUGGCAUGAAUGUGUUGUAUAUUGGACACCCAUUAGCCCUAAAAUUUUUGGCUUAUACUUAUACAUCAUUAUGGAAUAAUACAAAUAUAUAUACUUAUCUACUGAUUGUUUAUUCCACUAACCAAUGAUCUUAUAUUUACAUUUGGGCUGAUGUAUUGAUAUUUAAUAACCUAUCAAAGGCCUUGUCACAGAAGAAUUCUCAUUCUCCCUCUCAACAUUUAUUAAUUGCCUGUAGCUCUUCAGUUGUUACUGAAAAUUUUGAGAUGACUGACAUCCAUGACAUUGGCAUGAAAACAUGUGCUGUCAUUUUGUUAACUGUCUUUAGGUAUCUCUAUUUUGAGAUUUUGUGGAUGCAUCAUUCAUAUUAUAAAUAGAAGCUACUUUUUCACAGCACUCAAGUCUACUUUAUGACCUGAAAUACUUUAAGCCUUUCAGAUGUGUCUUGGAGCUUUAAAUAUUCCAAUACCCUUUAAAGGGCUAAGAUUUGCAAAAUGAUGGCAAGUAAGGCAAGAUGAUAGAUACAUAUAAUUUACUUAGAACUUUUGUAGCAGUAUUAUCCACACUUUUGGCCUCAGCAUUGCAUGUUGGUAAAGAACAGACUAAAUAUAAUGUGGAAUGGUAUAGGAGACUCUCUAUGGUGUCAUCAAUGUAAGAAAUUAUAAAACUGACAUUAUUGGGAAAGGGAUUGUGUCUUCUUUAGUGAUUGAAAGCUAUUUGGACAAUACAUGGUAUGGAUCAUAUAUCUGAUUUCUCUGGGAUUGUUUUGCUACUACAUGUUUAAGGUUCACAGGAAAACAAGAAGCAAUUUUUCCAUUUCCUAAGAUUUCACUCCAGCAUUAGAAGACUAAAAUAGAUAAUUAAGGAUCUCAGACUAUAACUUCAGGUAUGUGAUAGUACGUUUGAUGGUUGCACCUUCCCAUAAAUCAGCUUCCUUUUGGUCCUUGAACAAUAUUCAAUGUUCCACUUUUCCUUCCAAAUCAAAAUAUUCAUGGCUAGGAAAUUUUAUCAGUCAACACACACUUGCCUUUCUGAUAUGGGCAGCUGAAUUUUAUUUUUAGGAUAUAUGUAAAAACCAAGGCAUAAUAGUGUGGGCUAUUACUUGUCAAGACAUGAGGGGAAUUGACAGACACAUUUCUGAAUUUUCUUGGCCAGCCGGCCUAGACAAGUUGGUAAUUUCUAGUCCACUGAGAAACACUGUUUCACCUGAGCUAGAGUUAGUAGAUAUCUGCAUGAUAAUAUUAUAGUGGUUCUUAGAGUACUUUUGAGAUCAUCAUUUCUAACACCAAGGCAACAUGCAUGUAUUCUGCCAGAUCAAGACAACCAAAUUUCCACUAUGUCUGUCCAUAGUGGGGAUUCAUAUAUUCCUAUCUUAGUCGAUAUUGUCAGGUGAUAGGCUUCUGGAGAAAGGAUAGUCAGGUUUCUUUUGGGAUGUUUUCUGAGUGGCUACUUAUCUCACACAGAUAUUUCCCAAAGAAACUUCUGUGGAAAAAUAUCAUUUUUCUUUGUUUGUGGUUUUCAGAUGGGAGAUCAUUUUUUCCUUCCUCUUUUUAGUGUUGGGAUGAUUUCUGGCUUGGUCCUGGACAGUCCUGUGCUUCCUGCCAGGGUCUCUGUGAGUUCAUAUGUAGCAUUCCAGCUCUGCAGCUUUCAUAAGUCAUCACUCCCCCUGGGAAGAGAUUUUGGAUGAUGCAUGUGUCUGAAUUCCACCUGCAAAGCCUAAAAAGCUUUGGCUCCAUAAGCAGCAGUUUAGUGCAUCUAUUUUAAUUUUAUGCAUGCCCUAUCUUGGAUACGUGGAUUUUCCUUUCUUUCUCUCUAAGAAAAGGCAAUUAGCAGAAAUGCAUGUCUAUGUUUAUUUUCCAAAACCUCCUAUACAUACCUACUUGUUCAAUUUCAUAUUCAUGGCUUCUUUAUAAAUUAUGGUUACAUGUAUGUAUGUGGAUGUGUACACACACACACACACACACACACACACACGUAUAUCCCUUCAUAAUUAUGUAUUAAUUACUUAAUUUU